UCUAUUUUGAGCGACAUUCAAGCCCGGCAAAGCCAAUGGAGAAAUGAAAGAAAAGAAAAAUAUCUCAAGAAAAUAGAACAUUCAAUGAUGCCUGGGCAGAUUCAUUUGCAUUUACCUCGGGCGAGAGUGGCCUACCAGUAUGCCUAAUUUGUGGAGAAAAACUGGCUAACAAUAAACGGUCAAAUGUCGCAAGACAUUUUAACAAUACACACAGACCCUUUGCUGAAAAAUAUCCAGAGGGAGAAGAGAGGAAAAAAGCUGUUUCGGAACUGAUGCAGAAGGCUAACCGGACGAAAAAUCAAUUCAAGAAGUGGGUGAAGUCUGCAAAUUCAACUACAUAUGCAAGCUUUGUGGCCGCUCAGGAAAUAGGCAGGCAUGGGAAACCGUUCACAGAUGGAGAAUAUUUGAAAGAAUCAUUCCUUAAGAUUUCAGAACACUUAUUUGCGGACUUUAAAAACAAAGACGAAAUUGUGCAGAAAAUCAGAGAGAUGCCUCUCUCUGCGAAGACUGUCAAAGACCACACUAUAGUUGUUUAUACAAAGUGUAAAGCUCAAGGAGGUCAUCAAGGGAAACUUUAGUGAAGAUGAGGUCGAGAUAAAGAUGGCUGUGAUGACGGUUGCAGAGGAUCCUGGAAAAAUCAUUCAAGAAAGCUUUCCUGUCCGCUGCUGUGCAUCCAGCAUACCACACUGUGAUACAGUAAGGAUGCUCUCCACGUUGGUUCUGUAGAAGACCUCCAGCAGCUUAGCUUCCAAGUUCUUCCUGAGCACUCUCAGGAAGUGGAGUCGCUGCUGGGCCUUUUUCACCACUGCAGUGGUAUUUACAGUCAAAGUGAGUUUGUCCGUGAUGUUGACUUGAAAUUUGAAGGAGUGGACCCCCUGCACACACUCACCAAUGAUGAACAGUGGGACCGGGUCGACGCUGCACUUCCCGAUGUCCAGGAUGAUCCUGGUUUUCAACAACAGUACAUGGAUGGUGGAGCCUUUUGAUGAAAGCUGCAAUCGAGCAUGUGAUUCACUUCUCCUCUUUUUUUUCUGUGGAAGUUUUGAUAAAACAAGUUAAGAUAAGAACAAGUGGCAAAUGGCUGUUAGGCCUACUUCGCUACUUCAUACUACAGGUUGAAAAUGUGUUCAGGAAGUCCAGUUUUCAUACUUGUAUGGAAAAAAAACUUCUAGAUAGAACAUUGUUAAAAUUAAAAAACAUUUAAAAAAAAGACAACAAUCCUGACCAAUAGUCGUGUUGUUGUCUUUCACACUGGAAAAGGUGCAAAUUGCACACUUCAUGUAACCACACAUAGAUUUCUUUCAUCUAACCUGUUCUGGUAACACGGUGGACAAUUGGUGAGCAGAUAUGACUCAGGACCUCAGAACUGUGAGGCAGAUGUACCUCACUAUUCUGGGUUGAAGUCCAGCCUCUCCUGUAUGAUGUUUGCUUGUUCUCCCUGUGCCUCCGUGGGUCUUCUCUGGGUAUUCCGGUUUCCUCCCACAUUCAAAAACAUGAGUGGUGGGUUAAUUGAAGACUCUACCUUGCACAUAGGUGUGAAAGGUUGUUUACAUGAGGCCCUACGUUGUUAAAGUUGUUGUUCUUCUUUCGGCUAGUCCCUUUCGGGGUCGCCACAGCGUGUCAUCUCAGAUGAACAAACAUAUAUGUUUGGCACAAUUUUUACGCCGGAUGCCCUUCCUGACGCAACCCUUCUCAGGGAGUGGAGGCCCCAUUAUAUUGUAUGAUUGACUUGCGACGAGUUCAGGGUGUAACCCGCCUCUUACCAGAUUCAGCUGGGAUAGCCUCCAGUCGCGGGAUGGAAAAUGCAUGGAUGUAUGGAUGGUAACUUGUUACUAGCACCACACCACUCUUUGAGUCCCAGUCCACAGAAAGACCUCUAGUGGAGCGUUUGCCCUUUUGCCUUGGAUGAGAAAAGUGCUCUUGCUGAUUAUGCUCCUUGAUUUCAUCAUUCCUUCAAAUUUCAUCCAUUCAUCAAUUUUCUGAGCCGCUUAUCCUAACGAGGGUCAAGGGAAUGCUGUAGCCUAUCCCAGCUGUCAUCGGGCAGGAGGCGGGGUACACCAUGAACUGGUUGCCAUCAAAUCGCAGGGCACACAAAGACAGACAACAGUUGCACUCACAAUCACACCUAGGGGCAAUUUAGAGUUAAUUAAUGCACGUUUUUGGGAUGUGGGGGGACACCGGAGUGCCCGGAGAAAGUCGACGCAGGCAUGGCAGAACAUACAAACUCUACAAUGGGAGGGCCAUGAUUGAACCCCAGUCCUCAGAACUGUGAGGGCAAUGCUUUACACUGUACAAACUGUACAUAAUAAUAAUUACAGUGUGUUGCAAUAAGGACGUUUUGAAGAAAAAAAUCUUUGUGUGAAAAAUUGGGCAUGCUACAUUACUGUAUUUUAGUCUUUGUCAUUAGGAUAGACUUGGAAUUUAAAGUAUUUUUUUGUGGUGAUACUUCGUUUUAAAAAGAACACUUGUAUGAUAUUGAGCAGAAUAGAGAAAUUGGUAAUAAAAAGGAAAACAUUA